UACGGGAGGCAGCAGUGGGGAAUAUUCCACAAUGGAGGGAACUCUGAUGGAGCGACGCCGCGUGAGUGAAGAAGGGUUUAGGCUCGUAAAGCUCUUUUCUUGCAGACGAGUGAGCUGUUAGACAGCUAGGGACGGUAUGUAAGGAAUAAGCCACGGCUAACUACGUGCCAGCAGCCGCGGUAAU
rnacentral:rRNA from 1 species